UCCAGCUAGAGAUUUUCAGUUAGUGUGGAC
rnacentral:piRNA from 1 species